GAUGAAGAACGUAGCGAAAUGCGAUAAGUAAUGUGAAUUGCAGAAUUCAGUGAAUCAUCGAAUCUUUGAACGCACAUUGCGCCCGCCAGCACUCUGGCGGGCAUGCCUGUUCGAGCGUCAUUUCAACCAUCAAGCCCCAGGCUUGCGUUGGAGCCCUGCGGCUGCCGCAGCCUCCUAAAAGCAGUGGCGGGCUCGCUAUCACACCGAGUGCAGUAGAUUACUCUUCGCUCAGGGCGUGCAGCGGGUUCCGGCCGUGAAACCCCCUACUUUUAAAGGUUGACCUCGGAUCAGGUAGGAAUACUCGCUGAACUUAAGCAUAUCAAUAAGCGGAGGA
rnacentral:misc_RNA from 1 species